UAUCGUGCUUCUCAUUUCGCUAAUUUCUUUCAAUGCCGCUGUUACGGAGGCUACAUCAGUCUCGAUUUUGUCUAUGCGGCUAGUUAUGUCAAGCAAAGCAGUCUCAGUUGUUUCUUGUUUUGUUUUAAUGGCUGCAGUGUCAUUAAAGAGUUUGGCUUGACCUGCGCUUAGGGCGGGCAAAAUGGAUACCACUUCAAGUAAUUGCUGAAGUUUGGCGUCAGUCGAGGGGCCUCGGUUAAGCUCAACAUCACCGGCACUCACAAGCAGAAUUGUGUCGAGGCUAUCCAUGACGUUCCCGAGCGAUGGUGCAGUUCGUUUUCACCGAGGGCGUUCAUGUGGACGAGCAGUAUCCAAGGGCAGCAGGCAGUCGUCGUUUCCGUUCCAGAGAAAGUCAAUGCCUGCGUCUCCUGCCGCUGAUGCACACGCGAACAGCUGUAUAACGAAAACAAGAGGUCUGUAAGAUGUCAUUGUCCUCGUGCCCACUGCCGGAGGCCACAAACUGGCCGCUCAGUUUCUCAUUUGCAUGCGCUCUUUAAUUAAAUAAACAUCCUGACUAUUUUGUUUUACUUCGCCGGGCUUUGGUACCUGUGUCGUAGCAAUGGUCACUCUGAGACAGUGCGAAACCAGUAAAAAUAUAGCUUCGACUUUUAGUGAUUUUUUCGAGUAAUUAACUGGUUUCGGUUUAGAAAUUUCUUGCACGGAACAGUGCAGGAAUGCGCUCAAAUUCGUGUUCAUCCGCUUGCAUUGGUGGCGGGGAGCCGCAACGCAAGGAACAGCCGCGAGCGAGGGUUUGAUAUGCCUUCUCGUUUUCCACUAAACUCGUAAACAGGAUUGCGGUCGUGUUACUGGAUGAGGCAGACAGUGCGCCAUUACCGCUAUAAUGACAAGCAUGUCACAAAGCGAAAUGGGCCGGCGAGUCGUCGAAUAACCAGCAAACGGUUUAUUAAACUACUUGGUAGCAAAAACACAAGAGUGAUAGCUCUCUGAACACAACUGAGUCCAAAGAAUGAAUGGUGCGCGCCCGGAUAUGCAUUUAAGCAUAUGCAUAAGCAUUUAAGCAUAUUUAGCGCAUAUGCAUUUAAGCGUCACGCCGAAAACCCCAGAAACAGCACGCGCGUUUGCCAGAGAGCAGGCGAUGUGUAGCCCGCCAUACGAUGUGUCUGGAAUCUUCUUGCUUCUUCUUCAGCACGCGCCGGGAUUAGAUGUACCAUUUCGUUCCUGCCCUGGAAGUUUCUCGAAGACGAUUAGCGAGCGAUGCUUCCCAGAAGCCUUCGCUCGCACCAAUCUCAUUGACGGAUCGACGACCUUGGAGAAGCUUCUCUACUUCCUCUUCUUCGCCGACGCACGCUUUCUACAAUGUUCGCCGCUGUGUAUAAAAGCUUGUGAGCUCCCAGUCGGAGCAUUCUUUACCUUUGUUCUGUCUAAGAGCUACCGCUCUUGUGUUAGACAGCUAAGCAGCUAGAAUAAAGCGUUCGCCGAUGA